CAAUAGCGUAUAUUAAAGUUGUUGCAGUUAAAAAGCUCGUAGUUGGAUUUCUGGUGGGAGCGAUCGGUCUGGCGCUUAGCGCGAGUACUUGCAUCGUCUCCGGCCAUCCUUGGGGAGAGUCUGUCUGGCAUUAGGUUGUCGGGCAGAGGAUCCUCAUCGUUUACUGUGUAAAAAUUAGAGUGUUCAAAGCAGGCUUAUGCCGUUGAAUAUAUUAGCAUGGAAUAAUAAGAUAGGACUUUGGUACUAUUUUGUUGGUUUGCGCACCAAAGUAAUGAUUAAUAGGGACAGUUGGGGGUAUUCGUAUUCCGUUGUCAGAGGUGAAAUUCUUGGAUUUACGGAAGACGAACUACUGCGAAAGCAUUUACCAAGGAUGUUUUCAUUAA
rnacentral:rRNA from 1 species